GGUGGCCUCUGCGCCGAGGCCUGUGGCGCCUGCGCACUGGCGAUCGGAUGCAACCCACCCAGACCCUCCGGCAGGAGUGUCGGCGGCCCCUUCACCGAGCGGAUCUACCCACGUGUGUUCCGCCGCCCGCUGGGGGCGCCUCGGCGCCAGUCGGCUCCCUGUGCGCCGCCCUGUACUCAUCUUUGCGUCACACUUCGGGGCAUGCGUGCCACGGAUCCGCCACUAGAUUAUAUGCCCUGGAUUAUUCUUCCCGGUUUUGCGUCUCGGGGCAGGUACCCGGUCAGUCGGUUGCCACGUGUUUACGGAGCACCCGGGUUCCAGGCAUUGUGCUGGGCGCCGGCAGCAUGGGCGAGGUCCCGACACUCAAGUAGGAGAGAGAGACAAUGAAAGGAAUCAUAGGCUGCACCCAGCUCCAACCAGCCCUCACAACAGGUGCCUAAACACGCAAAUUGGUGAAUUUGCUUGGCGUGGGCCUGGGGAGCCCAGCGGCACAGAAGACACACUGCAGGAGGAAAAAUGGCAACGCAGACAGCAGAAGUUUUGGUCUGAGGCUCGGCGCAGGAGUGCGGUUCAUUCUGGGAAAUGGGCGGGGACACAUGGCCUGGGAAGAGCCCACGGAGAAGUACCCCUGUGGGGCUUGCGGCAGGCGAAGCAGAGGAGGAAGAACCAGGGAGGAGUGUCUCAGAGAGCGGCCCGUGCGCCCCCUGUCCCGAUUCUGGUUGCUCGCGCAUCCGAACAGCUUUCCGGGAGAGGAACCGAAACGGCGCCGGCCGCAGAACCCGAAUGACGUGGACGGAUGUCUUCCACUUAGAACAGCCUCCAUCGGGCAGGGAUGGCAAGCCGCCUGCCAGACCAUAAACGUGAGCUUCAAAGACACGGGGGUGUGAGUCCACAUCACUGCAGACGUUGAAAGUGAACGGUGUCUGUCACCAUCUUGGAAAGCCACCCUGGGCAAGGGGGCGGGGCUGGGAGCGGGCAGCAGGAACCGCUGCAAGAGGGACGCGUUUGAGGGCGUCUGGUCCUUUCUCCCCCCUGGAGACGUGUGCGUCCACAGGAGAAAUGCCCAAGCACGUUCCUAUAGGGAACGAAAGCUCAUGGUUGCCUCUGGUGCUUGCUGGGCUGAGGCACUGGUUCCCAACUGGGGCCAAUUUUGUCCUCCUGGGGGACAUUUGGCAAUGCCUGGAAGCAUUCUCGAGGUCCCAUUUUGGGGGGGGGUAGGCAAGCUACCAGCAUCUGGUGAGUGGAGAGGUCACGGAUGUUGCUAAACACCAUACGGCACACAGAUGGCCUCGCAACCGAGAAGCGUCAGCCCCAGAUGCCAGCGGUGCUGAGCUGGAGGGACCCUGGUUUGAGGGGGGGCACAGGCUCCGUGUCGGCGGGGGUGGCCCGUUCCUCACACCCGUCAUCUCAGUGAAGGUGGGACGGGGAAGGGAGGCCUGUAGCCCCUCCCUGGUGGUCACAGGAGAGGCGAGCAGGCCUCUGCUCCCAAUCCCCAAAUAUCUGGGGGUGGGGGUGUGCCCAAAAGGCGCCUCAGGCUAACCUCCCCAGGUAGGUGGAAGGAUACGGGCAGAGUUUUUCAUCUCAAGUCAACUCUUACUUAUUUAAAAACCGAUUUCCUUAAGCACAUAAUUAUAUGUUUAUUUCCCCGAGGAACUCUUGAGGCAGCAGAGAUCUGCUUAAAUUAUGGGGACGGAGGCUGCAUAGGGGGCUCUAAUGGGGUUAGAAAAAUGUUCCGUCUCCUCUGAAGGAGCCCCGGGAGGAAGGGAAGGGCAGGUUCCCCUCCUGCCGUCCAGAGGACAGGAUGCAGGGGAGUGGGAGCGGAGGGCAGGAGUGUGAGGACUGGCUGUUCGACAGGGCACGCCAGGAUCAGAGCAGACGUGAACCCUGGGGUGCAGCCUCGAGCCCCCACUUCCCUGUUCCGAUCCUGGUAGGUGGAGGGGAGGGGUCCGGGGAGCAGGCCAUCCACAGGUUUGCUCCCUUCACGCACGUGUGUGCACACACACACACACACACACACACACUCCCCUGUGGAAGGGGGCUCUGGCACACGCACACGCACACAUGCACACACACACACGCUCCCCUGUGGAAGGGGGCUCUGGCGCACGUGGAGAAACAGGCCCAGGCCUCCGGUGAGGCGGCAGGUGGAACAGGUGGCCGGGCUUCGGUGCAUCGGUCUCCGAGCCGCUUCCGGCUCUGCUGCAGCCUGAGUGCCUGCAACUGUGGGUGCCUCUCACGCACGGCCUGGCCGGGCUGGUGGGGACCCAGGGGAGCAGGAUGAAGGACGGAUUACUCGGCUCUGAUAGUCCUCAGCGGAGAGGGGCCCUUAGUUAGUCCGCUGCAGGACUGGAACUUAACGGCCUGUCUCCCUUCCGGAGACAGCGGCAAGACUCCAGCCGUAACACUGUGUGAGAGAGCAGAAAGAUGGGUCAGGAGCGGGCGGCUUGGGCCUGCCUCUGGCCUAGGCUAUACAGGACGGGGUCCGCGGUGGGGGAGCUGGCCUCCUUCCUCUGUGUCCACUGCAUCUGGAAGGCAGGUCUGUCCCAGCGCCCCUGUCCCUGCUGCGGCCCUGUGCGAGCCUGUCCCUGCAGGAGGUGGUGAGUCAUCUCACUCAGCUGGAGCCUCCGCACCUGACAAGGCCGGGGACGCACAGCACUCAGGACGCGGUUCAGGACCAACCUCUGCCUCGUGCAGCCCGGCCUGCUGCACAACAGGGGACGGGGAUUCAGACAGAAGUUACAAUAAAGAGUCCGUGUGGCUGGUCUACCCCAUUCAUCCUGUGUCUCAAAGGCUCUGGGCCUUCUAGAAUGGUCUCCAACCAGGAAGGGAAGGGAACAUCAGAGAAACACGCUAAGAGUCAUGGCCCCGCAUCCCUUCAUCUAACCAUCAAAUAGCCCUCUCCACACAACCGCCCAGGCUGGCUCGGUUCCAGCCUCCCUGGGCCUGGGGCUGGGGGACAGCGUCACAGGCAGGGGCUCACGGGGAAGCCCAGAAGCCCACGGCUGGUGAGAGACGCCUGGUCCUGGGGAACUGGCGAUAGUAGUUAUCUGUGUGCACAACACCCAGGCCUUCUCCGUCUCGAGAGGGUGGACAGGAUGACACAGGAGGGGCAUGCGGGCCCAGACUGAGGGGUUGUGUCCACAGGACGCUUCCGGCCUGUGAGCAUCAGAGACCCCGGGCCCCUGGGGAUCUGUGACCUUUUCGCUGACCGGCUCCCCAGGAGAGACAUCAAAGAUUGUCAGGGAACAGACACAUAGCGUCUCAGCAUCUUUCAGGGGCUGAAGAUGUGUGCUGUGGUCCCGGCCCACCCUUCCACUUUCUAGAAGCCUGGCCUUGGGCCUGGGCCUGAGCUAC